rnacentral:rRNA from 1 species
CCUACGGGUGGCUGCAGUGAGGAAUAUUGGUCAAUGGACGAGAGUCUGAACCAGCCAAGUAGCGUGAAGGAUGACUGCCCUAUGGGUUGUAAACUUCUUUUAUAUGGGAAUAAAACGUUCCACGUGUGGGAUUUUGUAUGUACCAUAUGAAUAAGGAUCGGCUAACUCCGUGCCAGCAGCCGCGGUAAUACGGAGGCUCCGAGCGUUAUCCGGAUUUAUUGGGUUUAAAGGGAGCGUAGGUGGAUUGUUAAGUCAGUUGUGAAAGUUUGCGGCUCAACCGUAAAAUUGCAGUUGAAACUGGCAGUCUUGAGUACAGUAGAGGUGGGCGGAAUUCGUGGUGUAGCGGUGAAAUGCUUAGAUAUCACGAAGAACUCCGAUUGCGAAGGCAGUUCACUGGACUGCAACUGACACUGAGGCUCGAAAGUGUGGGUAUCAAACAGGAUGAGAUACCCUUGUAGUC